GUUUUUCCAAAAAUAAUAAUCAAGCUCAAUCGAAAAGACAAAAUCAAAAUGCUAAAGAAGAACUCAACAACUACAAGAAUGAAAUGAGGUACUGUUCACUAUUAAAUACACAUUUUUAAAAUUAAUUUUUUUUUUAAACUGUGUCUUUUCAACUAAUGCUGGAUCUGCAUUUUUUCCUCAAAAUUUUUCUGAGUUACAAAUUGUGACGACUUUAGUGCAUUCAAUUUAGGUUCUCCUUUAAUCUUUGAAUGUAAGUAAAAAAUAGACCAAGCUCAGGUGAAGAUUUGUACGAAGUACAGAAGUUAUUAUAAGUACUUUAUUGCCCAUCCAAACUGGAGAGGAACACGAUGAACCGUUUACUUUUUUAUCUUGGUCCAUCGCUGCAGUCCAGCCUGUCCCAUGCAUUCCUAUAGAAUGCUUGGAUCGCUCUUCCAAGAUGGUCGUUGAACGGUUACAUGCAAUCCUAACCUCAAGCUAAACGGCAGUUAACUUCAUUAUCUCAUUCCAUGGAUAAAGAAAAAUCCUUCCAGUAUGUGAAAUACAGAUUAAAAUUAAUUACUGAAGUUACUUAUUGAAAUGCUGAAUACUACCGAAAUAGUGAAAUUGAUAAUUGGAUAGUGAUAUGAUGAAGUGUAAGGAGAGUAUCAGUAUCUAAAAUAGUCCAUGCUCCACUGAACUUAUUCUCCAGUCUUGGAUAAUGGUGUGAUUUUUUUCCUUUUAAAAUAUUCUUAUCUUUUUUAUUUUCAUUUCUGUAGAAAUUAAACUCCACCCUGGAUUCCUCUCUCGUUACUCCUGAAAAUUCUCCACCAUUCAGCAGCCGUAUCACCAACAACAUUAGUGGUGAUGAAGAGAUCCCAAGUAUUCAGCUGCCAGACCUGAUGCUCCACCCGGACACUUUCAAGGCCUCUAAACUCAUAUCACCAUGCAAAUCAAUCCAGCUCACAGUUGCAAACGAUUCGCCACAAGAGAAUCGCUCUUUGAAUCGAAGCGUUCCAUACGUUAUGGCACCGGACCCAAGUGAGUUGCCCAUGCCGUCCAUGCUCAUCCCCCAGACUGGUGAAACAGAUGAGGCUGACUUGAGCAACGGCUCAGUGGAAGAAGAGAAGAAGCUUGUUAAUGUCAAUAACUCAGUAGGCUCGUCUGAUGUUCUCUCAAGCUCAGAAGAUAACCUCAGCACUCUACUAAGCGUAAGCCACGUGUUGCUGCUCUUUUCAACACACCAAUGGAACUGAAGUAAGUCGCCCAUAUUUUUGAGGAGGGAAUAAUGAAGACAAAUUUUCUCCCUUCUUUCAAGCCUGUUCCUUUUUUAAUCCUCGAACUUCGUUCCCUGUAGUAUCUCGUCAAUGUUCAAACAUCCCUAAAUCUAUAGUAGUUUUAAGUACUGUAUGCAUUCCUCUUCAAAUACUCGGAGUGGCAGACGGUAUUUCUGAAUAGCGCAGUUGGUUGAGAACCAGACAGCAGGAAAAUCUGUGAUUUUUUAAAAUCUAGCCAUGAAUAUGUCAAUCACUUAAAUCAGCUAGUUUUUUGUGUGCACAAUGAUCAAUCGUGAUGUAGCAUAUUUUAUCUAGAUACGUAAGUCUUUGUGUCCACCGGCAAUUGAUUCUGUUCUAUCUAGAUAUCCUAUAUAUUUUAUAAAGUGUAAGCGCUGUUAUUUUUACGAACCUUGAAACCUUAUUUUCUGUCCCUUUCUGAAUUUUAUUUUUUAUGAUUAUGAUUGUAUAGUUUUAUCUUUCACGCUCGAAUCAUUUUAGUUUUGAUAUUCAGAAAAAGAAGGUUAGGAAACCUGCGAACAUUACUAGCAGUCGUCAAUUAAGCUGCAAAAUAUUCGAACCGUGAUUUUUCUCUCCCAUUCCCAGCACAUGAAGGAUAGGUCGAUCCUAACUUAGGGUAGUUAUUAAAUAGCUAUUGAUUUCCUCCUAUCUCUUGGUUCUUAUUGUACCUGUUCCAGGCCAACUUCUGUCAUGCUGAGACUGUAACUCAGUUCUAGUCCAAUGAAUUUUUAAUUGAUAUAACAUGAUGAUUUGAAGAGAAACAGCCAUUUCUUAGAUGAGUGCUCAGUAUUUUGAGCUUUAUUUUAUCCUUAGAAAGUCAAGGUGUUUUAUUGGAAUGAUGAUAUGCAUAUCUGCUUGUUUCUUACUUUUCCUAUUUCUAUCUUGUCUUCCAUGUAUGAGUUGUGGAAUAAGUCUAUUUUCCUAUCAAUGUAAUUCUGUAUCUCUUGCAUUUCAUAUUACAUUAAAUCUGUUCCUUGGUAUUUCCUCUAUCUAUGGCAGAAUAUCAUACAGGGUGUCCGAAAGUUAACAUACUGAACUUUCAGGAUCGAUUUUUCUGCUCAUAAUUUGACUUUUUUUCCCAAGAUGCAUAUGCCUGAAAACGCUUCACAAGUGAGCUAUGCGCUUCCAAAGUUGCCAUUUGUUUUCUUUCAAAUUAAUGUAACUCCUUGUUAUUUAGUCGUAAGUGCCUAAAACACUGUGCAGGGAGGUACAUUUUAGCGUUCUGUUCAUUUUUCCAGUUUUCAAGGACGUAUGUUCUUCGUAGCGUUUUCGGGCACAUGUGUCUAUGGAAAAAGAGUCAAAUUUUGAGCCAAAAAAUCGAUCCUGAAAGUUAAGUAUGUUAACCUCUGGACACUCUGUAUAAUGCUCUCUAUCUGCUACAGGAUUACAACAACACAGUUUAAUGAUUAGGAGUUAGUGUUUGUUGAGCAAAAAUAAAGAAGGUUUUUCUCUCAACUCCUAUAGGUAAAAUACACCAACAGAUUAGCAUUUCUCGCUUACUUUGAAAGUAGCACCACUCAUCGAAAGUUUACACCAAAGUUAAUUUAUCAAAAUGUAGUUUUUUGAUGAGUGCUGAUCCUUCAUCAUCAAGUGUCCCAUGUAUUUUAUCUUCUGGAGUUCCUCCUUCAUGUGCUGUAGCACUCUUCCAGUGUUGAUUCAAGUCAAAGCUGUAUAAGCAUUUAAUUGAAGAUGUUUUUUAUAGAUGAGGCUUCACUGUUAUUGCUAAAACUUGUCUAGCCGCAAAAGUCAGUUGCAUUUUAACUCGUUCUAAACUUUUCAAAUUUAUUUUUUGCUGAUCGUUAGUUUUUGAAAUUUUUUCAUUCUGUACUCUGAUUGAAAAUCAUGGACUACCAAACCUUAAUCUUUUGCACCAUUGUGUGAAGCUGGCUGAUCUGUAAUCAAGUACAAAACUCAUUCUUCUUACAAUUUUUAUUCACUUAACCCAGCAUAAAGUGAGAUCAAAGUCAAUCCCUGAUUGGGUAAUUAAUGGAUUGUAAUUUUGGAUUUAGAAUUCAUUCAAAUAAUCUAGUUGGACAUUCGUAGAAAAUGUCGUUUCUUAAAUUCGACUAAUGAAAAUGAAUCAGUUUAAUCCAGCUUUUAAUUAAUAGAAUAUUGUUGCAGACAGUAGAAAAAGUUAAAUUUUUUGAAACGUGUUAAAACUUAACAUUAGCAGCAUACCCUUUGCAAUGUUGAGUCCAUAUCUGGAGUCAUUUUUUUCUUCCUAAUAAAAUCUGAUGCAAAGCACAGUUUACAUUGUUAAAAAAGUGUCAAGAAUGUAUUUCCUGCUUCAGAUUUUCAAUUUUUAUAGUUCGAAGGAAGUUAUUGUCUGGAAUUAGGAAAUGCGAUUUCUCGGCAUUCCAUUCCCACACAUUCAAUGUAUUUUAGAACCAGUAUUUUUUGUUUCAAGUGCAUUUUUAUUUUAAUUUUUUGACUUAUUUUGAGUGGGUAUUUGGAAAUCAAUCAUUAAAUGUUUAGUUUUGCCGCGAAUACAAAAUAAGAAAGGGAAAAGCUCCCCUAUCAUUGUGCUUGUCUCUUCUACACGUAAAUUCUCACAUCUCGGUUUGAAAAUUGUGACCCUGUGUGAAGCCUAAUCCAAAGUUCGUAUUUUCGAGCAAUUUUCUCUACGCUUAAGUUGUUGCUUGUACUUGUUUUAAAUGUGAUGAAAUAAAUUCGGUACUUUGUAUUGCAGAUUGAUUCCUACGCUUUUUCUCUUCUUCUUUAAUCUUCUAGAUUUCUGUACCCCUAAGUUGAAGUUUACAGUUGGGGUAGUGCAAAGUUCAACGUCCACUUAAUCAUGCUGAUUAAUUUUUGUUUAGGUCAUCAUAGCUUUGAUUUCAUCAGGAGACAAGAACCCUCUUAGUUUGGAAAUUGUUUAUUAUAUCUACUGCUCCUGAGGGUUGAUAAUUUUUUACAAAUCUAACCCUUAACUUUUUCCCAAGGGUGAGUGCAAUGACACUUAUCAAGAGCCUCUAUUAGAACCAUUAACCCUCUAUUGCACGAAUUAAUUUUGGAUCACAGAUUUU
rnacentral:lncRNA from 1 species